CACGCCCUAAACGAUGUCAACUAGGUGUUGGGUGGGUAAAACCAUUUAGUACCGUAGCUAACGCGAGAAGUUGACCGCCUGGGGAGUACGGCCGCAAGGUUAAAACUCAAAGGAAUUGAC
rnacentral:rRNA from 1 species